AACGCAUAUUGCGCUCUUUGGUAUUCCGAAGAGCAUGCUUGUUUGAGUAUCGGUAAACACCUCAGCCAGAUUCUUUCUGGAUGGACUUGAGCAAACCCAACGUGUAGUCUCUCCGGAGGCAGCGGCGGGUUGCUUGAAAUGCAGGUGCAGCUGUGACAAGAACAGACUGAGCUAAAAGCAUAUCUAAUUUAGUCCGCCUAGCGGAUUAUCUCUAUUUGCUGCAGUUCAACCAAAGUCGUCUUGUCUGGCUGACUGAUGCAGGAUUUGUCAGACUUUCUCUCUUUGGGUAGAUAGACCUUUCAAAACUACGAUCUCAAAUCAAGUAAGACUACCCGCUGAACUUAA
rnacentral:rRNA from 1 species